rnacentral:rRNA from 1 species
GAUGAACGCUAGCGGCAGGCUUAACACAUGCAAGUCGAGGGGUAUAGUUCUUCGGAAUUGGAGACCGGCGCACGGGUGCGUAACGCGUACGCAAUCUACCUUUCACAGAGGGAUAGCCCAGAGAAAUUUGGAUUAAUACCUCAUAGUAUAGCAGUUUCGCAUGAAACCACUAUUAAAGUCACAACGGUGAAAGAUGAGCAUGCGUCCCAUUAGCUAGUUGGUAAGGUAACGGCUUACCAAGGCAACGAUGGGUAGGGGUCCUGAGAGGGAGAUCCCCCACACUGGUGCUGAGACACGGACCAGACUCCUACGGGAGGCAGCAGUGAGGAAUAUUGGACAAUGGGCGCAAGCCUGAUCCAGCCCAUGCCGCGUGCAGGAUGAACGGUCCUAUGGAUUGUAAACUGCUUUUAUACAGGAAGAAACACUACUUCGUGAAGUAGCUUGACGGUACUGUAAGAAUAAGGAUGGCUAACUCCGUGCC